AUACUCGUCUGGCAGGGAAGAUAAAAUGAUCAUGAAGGUGGCUUUCCCAGGGUGAGAUUUAUUUAUUGCACUCUGGGUGUGCAGACCCCUGCAAUUUCCCCGAAAGUGGGAAACUUGGCUGCAUAAUUUGUGUUCUUCCUUGGU
ensembl:snRNA RNU1-15P RNA, U1 small nuclear 15, pseudogene